CGGCCGCUGAGAGGCUCCGGGAAACUGAGGCGUCGCGGGCUCAGCGACCAGGUCUGAGGAUAUGACAUUACAACUGCUGCCAGCACCACAGAGUGAGCAGCCUCGAUAGCCGCCACCCGAGGGUGGCGGAGCGCCGCCUCCACCUGCCUGAUGCUGGCAGUGGAACCCACCAUGGAUGGGGACUUCCCUCCACAUGAGCUCCCUCCCCCCGGAGGUGGCAUCCAGCUCCAGAACCGACUCCUGCACUGUCCUUGGUGGGGCAGUUUCUCACCGCCAUUGUACCCCACCUUCUCCAGUGAAAAUCAGUAAGUGUUACUGUGGGGUCUCACCCCAUCUCUGCGUGAGCCCUGUGUCUCAUCA
rnacentral:lncRNA from 1 species